AUGCCUGUUCGAAAUGUGAAUUAUACUAUUUUUUCUUGUGGGAAUUGAAAUGAAAAACACGAGAUACUUUUUCUAGAAAUAUGGACUAAUGGAAGUUUAACCACUAAGGAAUCACUUUAUGAGGCUUCUCGUAAUUUCUUUAACAUACCACUGAACCACUUUUUAUUAACAUAA
rnacentral:rRNA from 1 species